rnacentral:rRNA from 1 species
AGAGUUUGAUCAGGGCUCAGAUUGAACGCUGGCGGCAGGCUUAACACAUGCAAGUCGAGCGGCAGCGGAAAGAAGCUUGCUUCUUUGCCGGCGAGCGGCGGACGGGUGAGUAAUGUCUGGGGAUCUGCCCGAUGGAGGGGGAUAACUACUGGAAACGGUAGCUAAUACCGCAUAAUGUCGCAAGACCAAAGUGGGGGACCUUCGGGCCUCACACCAUCGGAUGAACCCAGAUGGGAUUAGCUAGUAGGUGGGGUAAUGGCUCACCUAGGCGACGAUCCCUAGCUGGUCUGAGAGGAUGACCAGCCACACUGGAACUGAGACACGGUCCAGACUCCUACGGGAGGCAGCAGUGGGGAAUAUUGCACAAUAGGGGAAACCCUGAUGCAGCCAUGCCGCGUGUGUGAAGAAGGCCUUCGGGUUGUAAAGCACUUUCAGCGGGGAGGAAGGCAAUGGCGUUAAUAGUGUCAUUGAUUGACGUUACCCGCAGAAGAAGCACCGGCUAACUCCGUGCCAGCAGCCGCGGUAAUACGGAGGGUGCGAGCGUUAAUCGGAAUUACUGGGCGUAAAGCGUACGCAGGCGGUCUGUUAAGUCAGAUGUGAAAUCCCCGGGCUUAACCUGGGAACUGCAUUUGAAACUGGCAGGCUAGAGUCUCGUAGAGGGGGGUAGAAUUCCAGGUGUAGCGGUGAAAUGCGUAGAGAUCUGGAGGAAUACCGGUGGCGAAGGCGGCCCCCUGGACGAAGACUGACGCUCAGGUACGAAAGCGUGGGGAGCAAACAGGAUUAGAUACCCUGGUAGUCCACGCUGUAAACGAUGUCGAUUUGAAGGUUGUGGUCUUGAGCCGUGGCUUUCGGAGCUAACGCGUUAAAUCGACCGCCUGGGGAGUACGGCC